rnacentral:lncRNA from 10 species
AGGUGCUGAAGGCUGAGACGGUGAGAGCAUGAGUGAUAAGAUGCUCUCUCCCCUUGCUCUCUUUCUGAAGAUGACAAACUCCAUCUUUUUUCUAAAGUCUUACUAAAGUGGUGGGAAUCCAAAUUACACAGCACCAAAAUAUGUUGUCAGCGGCAAAUCCAUACGGGUCUGCAACAACAAUUCUUGUGUCCUCAGGAGAGAAUCUGACUAAGGGGCAUAAGGCAGAAGAGACCAAGACAAGUUUUAGAGCAGGAGUGAAGGUUUGUUGAAAAACUUGAGAGGAGGAAUGAAAAGAAAGUAAAGUACACUUGGAAGAGGGCCAAGCGGGCAUCUUGGAGGACAAGUGCCCCAUUUGACCUUGGACGUAGGGUUUUACAUGUUGGCAUACUUCUGGCAUCUUGCAUCCCUUUUCCCUUGAUUCCUCCCUUGGAGUGAGAGGCCUGUUAGCACUUUGGAGGUGACAAUGUAUAUAGUAUAAUGAAGGAUGUUACUAAAUGACAUGUGCUGCACACCU